rnacentral:ncRNA from 1 species
GCGGAGGCAUGAUGAUCGCCUACCCCGGACGAGAUGUGCGCCGUACCCGGUCUGCAAGACGACGCUCA